GCCGAUAGGGCUGCAAAUGCAGGGCAUUUUGAUAUAGUGUUAUUUAAAGAGAAGUCUUUCGUCGGUA
rnacentral:tRNA from 1 species